rnacentral:rRNA from 1 species
GAGUUUGAUCCUGGCUCAGAACGAACGCUGGCGGCAGGCCUAAUACAUGCAAGUCGAGCGCUACCUUCGGGUGGAGCGGCGGACGGGUUAGUAACGCGUGGGAAUAUACCCAGUUCUAAGGAAUAGCCACUGGAAACGGUGAGUAAUACCUUAUACGCCCUUCGGGGGAAAGAUUUAUCGGAAUUGGAUUAGCCCGCGUUAGAUUAGAUAGUUGGUGGGGUAAUGGCCUACCAAGUCUACGAUCUAUAGCUGGUUUGAGAGGAUGAUCAGCCACAUUGGGACUGAGACACGGCCCAAACUCCUACGGGAGGCAGCAGUGGGGAAUCUUGCACAAUGGAGGAAACUCUGAUGCAGCGAUGCCGCGUGAGUGAAGAAGGCCCUUGGGUUGUAAAGCUCUUUCGUCGGGGAAGAAAAUGACUGUACCCGAAUAAGAAGGUCCGGCUAACUUCGUGCCAGCAGCCGCGGUAAUACGAAGGGACCUAGCGUAGUUCGGAAUUACUGGGCUUAAAGAGUUCGUAGGUGGUUGAAAAAGUUGGUGGUGAAAUCCCAGGGCUCAACCCUGGAACUGCCUUUAAUACUGCUAGUCUUGAGUUCGAGAGAGGUAAGUGGAAUUCCGAGUGUAGAGGUGAAAUUCGUAGAUAUUAGAAAGAAUACCAAUUGCGAAGGCAGCUUUCUGGAUCAUUACUGACACUGAGGAACGAAAGCAUGGGUAGCGAAGAGGAUUAGAUACCCUCGUAGUCCAUGCCGUAAACGAUGUGUGUUAGACGUUGGAAAUUUAUUUUCAGUGUCGCAGGGAAACCGAUAAACACACCGCCUGGGGAGUACGACCGCAAGGUUAAAACUCAAAUGAAUUGACGGGGACCCGCACAAGUAGUGGAGCAUGUGGUUUAAUUCGAAGAUACGCGCAGAACCUUACCAACACUUGACAUGUUCGUCGCGACUCUAAGAGAUUAGAGUUUUCGGUUCGGCCGGACGAAACACAGGUGCUGCAUGGCUGUCGUCAGCUCGUGUCGUGAGAUGUUGGGUUAAGUCCCGCAACGAGCGCAACCCCUACUUUUAGUUGCCAUCAGGUUAUGCUGAGCACUCUAAUAGAACUGCCUGUGAUAAACAGGAGGAAGGUGGGGAUGACGUCAAGUCCUCAUGGCCCUUACGUGUUGGGCUACACACGUGCUACAAUGGCAUCUACAACAGGAAGCAAAACGGCAACGUUAAGCAAAUCCCGAAAAGAUGCCUCAGUUCGGAUUGCACUCUGCAACUCGAGUGCAUGAAGCUGGAAUUACUAGUAAUCGUGGAUCAGCGUGCCACGGUGAAUGCGCUCCCGGGUCUUGUACACACCGCCCGUCACACCAUGGGAGUUGGUUCUACCUUAAGGCAAGGUUUUAAACCCUUGACCACGGUAUAGUCAGCGACUGGGGUGAAGUCGUAACAAGGUAACC